rnacentral:rRNA from 1 species
UAUCUCUGUAGAGUCUGCAUAUCAAUAAGCGGAGGAAAAGAAACUAACUAGGAUUCCCUUAGUAACGGCGAGUGAAGCGGGAAGAGCUCAAAUUUGAAAUCUUCAAGGUUUUACCUUGACGAAUUGUAGUUUAAAGAAGUGUUUUCUGUUGGUGUUUUGGUAAAAGUUCUUUGGAAUAGGACAUCAUAGAGGGUGAGAAUCCCGUAUUUGACCAUUACUUCCAGCGUUGUGAUACACUUUCAAAGAGUCGGAUUGUUUGGGAAUGCAGUCCAAAAUGGGUGGUAAAUUUCAUCUAAAGCUAAAUAUUGGCGAGAGACCGAUAGCGAACAAGUACCGUGAGGGAAAGAUGAAAAGAACUUUGAAAAGAGAGUUAAACAGUACGUGAAAUUGUCAAAAGGGAAGCGUUUGACACCAGUGUUGUUUUCUCGAAAAUCAAUUAAAAAAAGUUGGAUUUUGUAUUGUUAAGACCUUAUCAGCUUACUGGACUCUUUUCUUGCUUUUUUUAAUGCACUUUUCGUUUAACAAGUCAACAUCAAUUUCUUUUGUUGUAAAAGAGUCAUUGGAAGGUGGCUUUCACUUCGGUGAAAGUGUUUAUAGCCUUUGGCUUCUGCAAUCGGAGAGAUUGAGGUCUGCAGCGUAGAUCCUUCGGGGCUAGAUACGUAGAUGCUAAGUUAUAGUUUUUUAUAGACAACUUGUUGACUAUAAUUAAUCAUGUAGCUUACUCGUUUGCGCUAUUUUACCUACGCUUAGGAUGUUGAUAGUCACAGCGUGUAC